GCGCCCGUAGCUCAGUUGGAUAGAGCAGCACCCUUCUAAGGUGAAGGUCAGUGGUUCAAAUCCACUCGGGCGUACCA
rnacentral:tRNA from 1 species